CCGUUAGAUUAUCAUUUUGGGUUGGGACAAAAGAAAAUAAAGAAUUUUUCCACCAUCAGUGCUGUCUAAAAUUCAAAAUUAAAUCCAAAAAUGUCAAAAGUGUCACUCCUUUUUGUAGUUGAUAAAAUCCGGAAUUUGUAGCCUCAUUUUCAAAGCCUGUGAUGAGAAUGUGGCAUUGCCGUGACACCAUUGAUGGAAAAGCAAGGCGACAUUAGCCAUGAUUUUCCACAUCCCUGGCUAUAGCUGAAUUACCAUCCCCCAAAUCCCACUAAUUUUCCACUCAAAAGGCACGAGUUUUCCUUUGCAUUUUUCAUCAGCCCGACAGAGAAAAGUAGAGAGUAAACAAUCACCUGGCGAGGAAAUAGGAAUGGAGGAGAAGAGCAUCAACAAGGGCUAAUAACAAAAGCUAGAGUUUUUCCAGAGCCAGUGGCUUAAACUGGCGUGCUUUACUCGAACACGUCUUGAGUUACGGCUUCGAGAAGCGGUUUGGAGAUUUUAAGGCGGGUAUUCG
rnacentral:lncRNA from 1 species